GACAGAGGGUGCAAACGUUGCUCGGAAUUACUGGGCGUAAAGCGCGUGUAGGCGGGAAGAUAAGUCGGGUGUGAAAUCCCCGGGCUCAACCUGGGAACUGCGUCUUAUACUGCGUAGCUUGAGUACAAUAGAGGGUAGUGGAAUUUCCGGUGUAGCGGUGAAAUGCGUAGAUAUCGGAAGGAACACCAGUGGCGAAGGCAGCUCGCUGGGACGUUACUGACACUGAGGCGCGGAAAGCGUGGGGAGCGAACAGG
rnacentral:rRNA from 1 species